GACGAACGCUGGCGGCGUGCUUAACACAUGCAAGUCGAACGGCAAGGCCCUGCUUUUGUGGGGUGCUCGAGUGGCGAACGGGUGAGUAACACGUGAGUAACCUGCCCUUGACUUUGGGAUAACUUCAGGAAACUGGGGCUAAUACCGGAUAGGAGCUCCUGCUGCAUGGUGGGGGUUGGAAAGUUUCGGCGGUUGGGGAUGGACUCGCGGCUUAUCAGCUUGUUGGUGGGGUAGUGGCUUACCAAGGCUUUGACGGGUAGCCGGCCUGAGAGGGUGACCGGCCACAUGGGGACUGAGAUACGGCCCAGACUCCUACGGGAGGCAGCAGUGGGGAAUAUUGCACAAUGGGCGGAAGCCUGAUGCAGCAACGCCGCGUGCGGGAUGACGGCCUUCGGGUUGUAAACCGCUUUCGCCUGUGACGAAGCGUGAGUGACGGUAAUGGGUAAAGAAGCACCGGCUAACUACGUG
rnacentral:rRNA from 1 species